rnacentral:rRNA from 1 species
AUACGGAGGAUCCGAGCGUUAUCCGGAUUUAUUGGGUUUAAAGGGAGCGUAGGUGGGAUAUUAAGUCAGCUGUGAAAGUUUGGGGCUCAACCUUAAAAUUGCAGUUGAUACUGGUUUCCUUGAGUACGGUACAGGUGGGCGGAAUUCGUGGUGUAGCGGUGAAAUGCUUAGAUAUCACGAAGAACUCCGAUUGCGAAGGCAGCUCACUGGACUGCAACUGACACUGAUGCUCGAAAGUGUGGGUAUCAAACAGGAUUAGAUACCCUGGUAGUCCACACAGUAAACGAUGAAUACUCGCUGUUUGCGAUAUACAGUAAGCGGCCAAGCGAAAGCAUUAAGUAUUCCACCUGGGGAGUACGCCGGCAACGGUGAAACUCAAAGGAAUUGGCGGGG